UACUACCGAAGCUACGGCAUCAGUAAUGAUGGGUAGGGGAGCUUCCCAUACGGGUUGAAGCAUGACCGUAAGGACAUGUGGACAGUAUGGGAGUGAGAAUGUUGGCAUGAGUAGCGAGAUGUGGGUGAGAAUCCCACAGGCCGUAAACCCAAGGUUUCCAGGGGAAGGUUCGUCCGCCCUGGGUUAGUCGGGACCUAAGCUGAGGCCGAAAGGCGUAGGUGAUGGACAACAGGUUGAUAUUCCUGUACUACCGAUAACCGUUUGAGAGAAGGGAUGACACAGUAGGAUAAGCUAAGCACACUGUUGGUUAUGUGUGCCCAAGCAUUGAGGCAGUCAAAGUAGGCAAAUCCGCUUUGAUAAUGCUGGGAUGUGAUGGGGAGCGAAAUUUAGUAGCGAAGUAGCUGAUUUCACACUGUCAAGAAAAGUCUCUAUCGAGGUUAAAGGUACCCGUACCGCAAACCGACACAGGUGGGUGAGGAGAGUAUCCUAAGGCCAGCGAGAGAACUGUUGUUAAGGAACUCGGCAAAAUGACCCCGUAACUUAGGGAUAAGGGGUGCCACCAUCAGGUGGCCGCAGAGAAUAGGCCCAAGCGACUGUUUACCAAAAACAUAGGUUUCUGCUAAGUCGCAAGACGAUGUAUAGGAGCUGACGCCUGCCCGGUGCUGGAAGGUUAAGGGGAUCUGUUAGAGCAAUCGAAGCAGUGAACUUAAGCCCCAGUAAACGGCGGCCGUAACUAUAACGGUCCUAAGGUAGCGAAAUUCCUUGUCGGGUAAGUUCCGACCCGCACGAAAGGCGUAACGAUUUGGGCACUGUCUCA
rnacentral:rRNA from 1 species